GACGAACGCUGGCGGCGUGCUUAACACAUGCAAGUCGAACGGAAAGGCCCUGCUUUUGUGGGGUGCUCGAGUGGCGAACGGGUGAGUAACACGUGAGUCACCUGCCCUUGACUUUGGGAUAACUUCAGGAAACUGGUGCUAAUACCGGAUAGGAGCUCCUGCUGCAUGGUGGGGGUUGGAAAGUUUCGGCGGUUGGGGAUGGACUCGCGGCUUAUCAGCUUGUUGGUGGGGUAGUGGCUUACCAAGGCUUUGACGGGUAGCCGGCCUGAGAGGGUGACCGGCCACAUUGGGACUGAGAUACGGCCCAGACUCCUACGGGAGGCAGCAGUGGGGAAUAUUGCACAAUGGGCGGAAGCCUGAUGCAGCAACGCCGCGUGCGGGAUGAAGGCCUUCGGGUUGUAAACCGCUUUCGCCUGUGACGAAGCGUGAGUGACGGUAAUGGGUAAAGAAGCACCGGCUAACUACGUG
rnacentral:rRNA from 1 species